GUAUCUGGCCGAGUGGUCUAAGGCGCUAGCUCAAGGUGCCACUUGGCAUAAUAUCUUGGUCUCUUCGGAGGAGAGAUUUCGAAUCUCUCGGCUGU
rnacentral:tRNA from 1 species